GGUGGGUCCUGGGCGCCGCAGCGGGAUUGGCCUCUGGUCGGAGGGAGCUUGGGGUAGGGGAAGAUGUGAGUGGGUUUGUACAUGCACUGCUGUGAGAUGAGGGGGUUUGUAUUAGUCAGGGUUCUACAGAGAAACGGAGCCAAUAGGAUAAACGUGCAUAGGAAGAGAUUCGUAAGGAGAUAUUUCAUGCGAUUCUGGAGGCUGAGAAGUCCCACGAUCUGUUGUCUGCCAGCCGGACACCCAGGAAUGCUGGCAGUGCAAGUUCCAAGACCUGAGGGCAGGGAUCCAACAGUGUGGACUCCAGUCACAGCCUGAAGCCCUGAGAACCUGGAGUACCAAUGGCCGGAGAAAAUGCACGUCUCCCCUGGAUCAGGCAGAGAGAAUCCAAACUCCCUCCACCUUUUUGUCCUAUUCAGGCUUCCACAGAUUGGACGAGGCCCACCCACCUUGGGGAGGGGCCACCUGCUGUGUUCAGUCCACCAGUGCAAACGCUAAGCUCUUCCAGAAACACCCUCACAGACACCCGGGAAGUCACGUACCCACUCUCCGGGUGCCCUGGGGCACAGGCAAGCUGACAAGCCGGUUACCCCUCAGAGCUCCUGCUGCCUCGCCUGCUUUCUCUCGGAAACGUGAAGUGUGGCCUCAGCUGAAAGUGAGGCUGCUCUCAUGGUGGUUCUAGAAGCUUCAUUUAAGCUAAGUGAUCCUUAUCAAGAAAAUAAAAAUGCAAUAGUUCAUUGUGGUAAGUAGCAUGCAUUCGAUUACUCUUGAAGCUACUGUUUUACAUGUUUUCUUUGGUACUUUUUCCUUUUCCUUUGAUGAAUUACCAGCUAAUCCUCCUUGCCCGUUUUUCAAUUUGGGCUAUUGUUUUAUUUUCUUGGAGCUUUUUUUUUUUUUUUUUUUAAGAGCAGUUUAUGUAUAAAGGACAUUGUCACAUAUUGUGAUGAAAUUUUUGUUUUUGUUUUUUUUUUUCUCUGAAUUCUGUUAGUGUUAAUUUUCUAGUAAAAUUUAUUUAUUUAUUUUUACCUUUAUGCAGUUUGAGAUACAAACUUUUCCUACAAAUGUAUUUGCUAUUCUUUCUAUUUUGCUCCUGAAGACUUUGCUUCCUUUGAGAUGAGGUCAGUAGUGUUCUAUGCUUUGUUCUAUUUAAGUUUCAUGAUUUUAUUUUAUUUUAUUUUAUUUUUGCUAUCAGAAUUUUAACCUUCUAGUAAUUUUGGUGUGCACUAUGAGUAAAGCUUGGAUUUCAUUUCUAUUGAAAUGUUUAAGCAUCAAAUUUUCCUUGCUGUUUAUCAAAUAAACCAUCUCCCUCCCUUGAAAUUCUACAUUUACUUAGUUCUGGGAGAUUUAUUCCUAUCUGUAUGCAUCCUUGUCCCACCCACCACUACUUUGUCACAAUUGUUUUGAAUGAUAAUAUAACCUCAUGUUUGACAUGGAAAUCUCUUUUCCGUUAUUCUCCAUCCCUUCCUCCACUUUUUUUGUUUUUUUUUUUUUCAGUAUCUAUUGGCUGUUCUUGGCAAUUUAUUUUUCCAGGUAAAUUUGAGUAAUCUUCUGUCAGGUUGUAGAAAUAGUCUGAUAAGAUUUUGAUUGAGAUUGUAUGAAGUUGGGAAGGGUGUGUCUGGGUGGGACCUGCAAGCUUUGCCGCAUCUGUGGAGCAUCAACGGCCUUCUGUGCUUGGUGUGGCUGCCGGAGGCAGCUGGGGCAGUGCAUGUCCCCUCUUCUCCCUUCUGAGACUAGCUAGGGUUCCCCUCCCAGCAGGCCCCUCCAUGUCAGUGUGAGUAGGUGCAAGCACGGCCUGGAGAGCCCCGGGCCCCUAAGCCUCCAGACCUUCUGUGGCUCCAUUCCAGGGGCAGAAGCUACCCUGUGGGUCCCUCCUGCCAUGGCCUGCUCGUGUCUCCUGGAUUUAGGGCGUGAGCAAGCAGGUGACCCGGGGCUUGUCUUCUUUCACAAACGUGGUAGGUGUUCUACAUGCUUUAUGCUUAUUUUAUUUAUCUAUUUUUUCUUUUUUUUUUUUUUUUUGAGACGGAGUUUCACUCAUUGACCAGGCUGGAGUGCAGUGUCACUAUCUCGGCUCACCACAACCUCCGUCUCCCGGGUUCAAACAAUUCUCCUGCCUCAGCCUCCAGAGUAGCUGGGAUUUCAGGCACGCACCACCAUGCACCAAAAGAAUUUUUGUCUUUUUGGUAGAGACGGGGUUUCACCGUGUUGACCAAGACGUUCUUGAUCUCCUGACCUUGGGAUCCGCCUGCCUCGGCCUCCCAACGUGCUGGGAUUACAGGCGUGAGCCACCGCGUCUGGACUAUUUAUUUAUUUAUGAUGGAGUCUUGCUCUGUCACCCAGGCUGAAAUGCAGUGGUGCAAUCUCAGCUCACUAUAACCUCCUCCUCCCAGAUUCAAGCAAUUCUCUUGCCUCAGCCUCCCGAGUAGCUGGGAUUACAGGCAUGCAUCACCACACCUGACUGAUUUUUGUAUUUUUAGUAGAGACAGGGUUUCACCAUGUUGGCCAGGCUGGUCUCAAACUCCUGACCUCAGGUGAUCCACCUGCCUUGGCCUCCCAAAGUGCUGGGAUUACAGGCAUGAGCCACUGAGCCCCACCUUUGUGCGUAUUUUUAGAGGUUAAUCCCAGCAGCACUCCUGGUAGAGAGCUAAUAACCUGUGAUGACUGAUGAGAAAACCGGGGAGAAGAAGUUCAAGUACAUCCAAGGUCACCUGACUGGAGGCUGGCUGACCCAGGACCUAGACCUGGCCUGUCU
rnacentral:lncRNA from 10 species